rnacentral:rRNA from 1 species
AGAGUUUGAUCAUGGCUCAGGACGAACGCUGGCGGCGUGCCUAAAACAUGCAAGUCGAACGGUGUAGCAAUACACAGUGGCGAACGGCGGAGUAAUACAUGAACAACGUGCCCGGAAGACUGGGAUAGUCAGGGGAAACCCUGGGUAAUACCAGAUGUGGCCGUUUCUUGGCAUCAAGAGACGAUCAAAUGGUUUUUCGCUUCCGGAGCGGUUCAUGGCCUAUCAGGUAGUUGGUGAGGUAAUGGCUCACCAAGCCGACGACGGGUAGCGGGUCUGAGAGGAUGACCCGCUCGAGUGGGACUGAGACACGGCCCACACACCUACGGGUGGCAGCAGUUGGGAAUCUUGCACAAUGGGGGAAACCCUGAUGCAGCGACGCCGCGUGGAGGAUGAAGGAUCUAGGUCUGUAAACUCCUUUUUCAGGGAAAGACUUAGGACGGUACCCUGAGAAUAAGGACCGGCUAACUACGUGCCAGCAGCCGCGGUAAGACGUAGGGUCCAAGCGUUAUCCGGAUUUACUGGGCGUAAAGAGCGCGUAGGCGGCUCGUUAAGUGUGAAGUGAAAUCUCCAGGGCUCAACCCGGAAACUGCUUUACAUACUGGCGAGCUGGAGUGAUGAAGAGGUUUGUGGAAUUCCUGGUGUAGCGGUGAAAUGCGUUGAUAUCAGGAGGAACACCCAUGGCGAAGGCAGCAAACUGGUCAUCAACUGNNNNUGAGGCGCGAAAGCGUGGGUAGCAAACAGGAUUAGAUACCCUAGUAGUCC